rnacentral:rRNA from 1 species
UACGUAGGGAGCAAGCGUUGUCCGGAAUCAUUGGGCGUAAAGCGCGCGUAGGUGGCCCCAUAAGUCCGUUGUGAAAGUCAAAGGCUCAACCUUUGAAAGCCGGUGGAUACUGUGGGACUAGAGUACGGAAGAGGCGAGUGGAAUUCCUGGUGUAGCGGUGAAAUGCGCAGAUAUCAGGAGGAACACCAAUGGCGAAGGCAGCUCGCUGGGACGGUACUGACGCUGAGACGCGAAAGCGUGGGGAGCGAACAGG